rnacentral:tRNA from 1 species
GAGGAUAUAGAUUAGUGGUAGAGCUUUCGACUGCUGAUCGAGAGGUCCUCGGUUCAAACCCGGGUGUUCUCU